rnacentral:lncRNA from 1 species
UCCAAGUCACUCCUUGCAUAACCUUCUACACUCAAGGCAUCUAAACAUGUAGCGCAUUGUAUGAUUGUUUUCUUGCGAUUAGCAAAUUCUGUACAUAUGUUCUUAGUAACAGUUAUGUUUAGGACAUGAAGUAUCAACGGCUUUAUGUGCACUAAGAACAAUGAUGUUAUGAAACUGGAAUACCACAGUCUCAUUUCUAAUUGUGUCUAUUCAGAUCACGUUGGGGACGGGAUGCCACUGCCAUGAGAUGGGCCAUCCAUCCAUCACGAAGAACCUGCUGCCGUUUCACAAUGGUAACAUUAUGAUUGAUGACAUAACCAUUAAUCUUAUUAACCUGUACAACAGUGAUCCAUCUAUACUGCAGUAGCUUGUCAUGUUUGAUGCCACCGCUAGACCAUUAUGCCAUGUAGAUGAAUUCUGGAGCUGCAUGGAUGCUGUCCAAGUUUCUGUGGAGAAAUGCUUGGAGCCUUUGUGAGUAUGAUGUGAAGUAUUGAACUUUGGACGUGGUUUCAGAGGAGCAGUCGGUUCUGUGGGAUACAGAGAAAUGGUAGCUUUGUAUCCAAGUGUUCAGUUAGUCCAGCGUCACUAUAAAUACAAGAUUGUUAAUUCUGUUAUGACUUGUGACAAACUGUUUGCGUUGUGCUCUGAGUGAGACUUGUUAAUUUGUGUUGUGACAACUGCAUGCUCUCCUGGCAACACAUAAGUAUGGAUGAAUAUGUAGAGUUCGAAAUAAUUUAUGCUCUCUAGUGCAUACUUAGUGAACAAAACCAUGUCUGCAGAAUUUUGGAAAGCAAAGUCUAUUAAUUUUGCCUCUA